rnacentral:rRNA from 1 species
AUUGAACGCUGGCGGCAGGCCUAACACAUGCAAGUCGAACGGUAACAGGAGGAAGCUUGCUUCUUUGCUGACGAGUGGCGGACGGGUGAGUAAUGUCUGGGAAACUGCCUGAUGGAGGGGGAUAACUACUGGAAACGGUAGCUAAUACCGCAUAAUGUCGCAAGACCAAAGAGGGGGACCUUCGGGCCUCUUGCCAUCGGAUGUGCCCAGAUGGGAUUAGCUAGUAGGUGGGGUAACGGCUCACCUAGGCGACGAUCCCUAGCUGGUCUGAGAGGAUGACCAGCCACACUGGAACUGAGACACGGUCCAGACUCCUACGGGAGGCAGCAGUGGGGAAUAUUGCACAAUGGGCGCAAGCCUGAUGCAGCUAUGCCGCGUGUAUGAAGAAGGCCUUCGGGUUGUAAAGUACUUUCAGCGGGGAGGAAGGGAGUAAAGUUAAUACCUUUGCUCAUUGACGUUACCCGCAGAAGAAGCACCGGCUAACUCCGUG